rnacentral:rRNA from 1 species
UGGUCCUUGAUGUGUAGGAUAGGUGGGAGGCUUUGAAGUGUGGACGCCAGUCUGCAUGGAGCCAUCCUUGAAAUACCACCCUUUAAUGGCUGGUGUUCUAACGUAGACCCGUAAUCCGGGUUGCGGACAGUGUCUGGUGGGUAGUUUGACUGGGGCGGUCUCCUCCUAAAGAGUAACGGAGGAGCACGAAGGUUAGCUAAUCCUGGUCGGACAUCAGGAGGUUAGUGCAAAGGCAUAAGCUAGCUUGACUGCGAGAGUGACGGCUCGAGCAGGUGCGAAAGCAGGUCUUAGUGAUCCGGUGGUUCUGAAUGGAAGGGCCAUCGCUCAACGGAUAAAAGGUACUCCGGGGAUAACAGGCUGAUACCGCCCAAGAGUUCAUAUCGACGGCGGUGUUUGGCACCUCGAUGUCGGCUCAUCACAUCCUGGGGCUGAAGUAGGUCCCAAGGGUAUGGCUGUUCGCCAUUUAAAGUGGUACGCGAGCUGGGUUUAGAACGUCGUGAGACAGUUCGGUCCCUAUCUGCCGUGGGCGCUGGAGAAUUGAGGGGGGCUGCUCCUAGUACGAGAGGACCGGAGUGGACGCAUCACUGGUGUUCGGGUUGUCAUGCCAAUGGCAUUGCCCGGUAGCUAAAUGCGGAAAAGAUAAGUGCUGAAAGCAUCUAAGCACGAAACUUGCCCCGAGAUGAGUUCUCCCUGACCCUUUAAGGGUCCUGAAGGAACGUUGAAGACGACGACGUUGAUAGGCCGGGUGUGUAAGCGCAGCGAUGCGUUGAGCUAACCGGUACUAAUGAACCGUGAGGCUUAACCUUACAACGCCGAAG